AAAUUGAAGAGUUUGAUCAUGGCUCAGAUUGAACGCUGGCGGCAGGCCUAACACAUGCAAGUCGAACGGUAACAGGAAGCAGCUUGCUGCUUUGCUGACGAGUGGCGGACGGGUGAGUAAUGUCUGGGAAACUGCCUGAUGGAGGGGGAUAACUACUGGAAACGGUGGCUAAUACCGCAUAACGUCGCAAGACCAAAGAGGGGGACCUUCGGGCCUCUUGCCAUCAGAUGUGCCCAGAUGGGAUUAGCURGUUGGUGAGGUAACGGCUCACCAAGGCGACGAUCCCUAGCUGGUCUGAGAGGAUGACCAGCCACACUGGAACUGAGACACGGUCCAGACUCCUACGGGAGGCAGCAGUGGGGAAUAUUGCACAAUGGGCGCAAGCCUGAUGCAGCCAUGCCGCGUGUAUGAAGAAGGCCUUCGGGUUGUAAAGUACUUUCAGCGGGGAGGAAGGUGUUGUGGUUAAUAACCRCAGCAAUUGACGUUACCCGCAGAAGAAGCACCGGCUAACUCCGUGCCAGCAGCCGCGGUAAUACGGAGGGUGCAAGCGUUAAUCGGAAUUACUGGGCGUAAAGCGCACGCAGGCGGUCUGUCAAGUCGGAUGUGAAAUCCCCGGGCUCAACCUGGGAACUGCAUUCGAAACUGGCAGGCUUGAGUCUUGUAGAGGGGGGUAGAAUUCCAGGUGUAGCGGUGAAAUGCGUAGAGAUCUGGAGGAAUACCGGUGGC
rnacentral:rRNA from 1 species